ensembl:lncRNA
GGGGAGUGCAAGAUGAGGAGAGAAGGCACUCGGGGUCCAAUCACGAUGCCCCAGGGCCUGUUCGCUGCUCACUCUCAGCGAAGGUGGUGAAGAGGGCAGAGUGUUAAUGACAGUAAUUGCUUUAAUUAUUUUUUUGGUUUGGAGAGUCGUAAAAUGCGCAGCUCGCUCAAUGCUAAUCAUGGUAAUGAGGAGGGGCUGGGGCCCGAAUGGCCGGCAAUUAACUGGUGAAGCAUCAGGCUGCAGGCGGAGAGGAACAGGCGAUCAAACCCGCUUCUCUUCUCCCCUCCCCUCCCUUCCCUCUGCCUCCUUUGGCCUUUAUCCCCCUCCACCACCUCACUUCCCCCCUCCUCCCUCUGCACCACCCCCUCUGAGGGAGGCCUCUGUGAUGGUGAUGGCGGUGAUAGCAGGGAUGGGGGAGUCGCCGUGGCUGGUCUCAGGGAUUGGUCUCCGGCCUGGGGGACGUGGCUGUCCUGGGGGAAACAGGAGCAGGGAGAGCCCAGCCACAAGCAGAGGUCUGUGCCUGCUCUGGGCACGCGCCUGUGGAGCUCCUCCAGGGCUGGGCAGCUGCACACAGUCUGCUCUGGACCAAGCACCUUGACCCUUACAGAUGAGCCAGGAGACAGAGGGCAGAGCUGCAUCCUUAAAUGAAGCUGGGGGAAGCCUCAGGGAAUAGACAUUGACCACCUUCUAGCCAACCUAGCAUCACAGGGUCAACCAACAUUUUCCGAGCGCUCGCUGUGUGCCGGGCUGGAGACCCUGGGGAAUCGGGCUCUGCUUGUUCUCAAGAUGCUCCCGGCCAGGUGGGGAGCUGGACAUGGAAGGAGUAAUGACCCUCCUGGGGGCGGGGAGCAUCUGAACGCAGCAUUCAGGCCGAAGGUGCCAACUCUUGAAGAAUCAGGGAAGGCUUCCUGGAAGAGAUGGCAGGGCCAUCGCGGAGGACUUCCUGGAGGAAGCAAUGUUUUCUGAGUCUUGCAAGGUGAGUAGCAGUUUCCAGGACGUGAGAGGAGGGCAGAUUCCUGGCUGAGGAAAGGAAAGACAGGAGACAUAGUUGGAGAAAUCACUUUGGGCCAGAUUACAAGGGGCCUCAAAGACCCCACUUCGGAAUGAAGAAUAGAUGAAACCACAUAGGUAAAACAUGUGGCACAAAGUGAGGACUCGAUGGGUGAUAGCAACGCUGGUCCUGGCAGUGAUAACAAAGUGUGCAGCCAGGGACAGUGUCCCAGGGACACAGAUGCACUCAUGUGGGUACCUAGAGACACUGUCAUACACGUGAGCUCCAAUUACACGAAUCACAGAGACACAAACGCACAGUCACCCUGUCCCCUACCCCAGAUACGUCCAGACACACACGGUCAUACACACUCAGAUAGACACACUGACAAAGUGCACCUCUGGACACACUCAACACACCAGAUCCACAGGUGGCUUCAUCUCUGAGGGGCUUGCUAAGGCCAGAGCUGUGCCUGACCCCUCACCUUGGUACCUGCUCCCUGGGACCGUGGGCAGGGGUGGAGUCAGGGAAAACGGCCUCUGCAGACCACCCAGCAGCCUCUCUGCUUGGCCAGCAUGUGAUCCUUGGCACUGCAGCUGGAGAGCCUGAGGCCAGCUGCCAGGAAGAACUGUCCAGCUGGGAAGCCAGCUUACUGCAGUCAGGGGUGCCACAUACUGCCUGGGCCUGAGGGAUUGGUGAGGUGCAUAUACCUGGCUUGGGGCAGGGAGCCGUUUCACCCCAAGCCAAACUCCAACCCUCUUCCAAGAUCAGGUCUCAGGGCCUCUGGAGACCCUCCCCCUGUGGGCUUAGGCAGAGGACAUGUGAGUUCAGCGGGGAGCACACUGUGCAUGGUACAUGCAGGUGUCUGCUGUGAUGAUCAGAAGAGACUUGCAGCUGGAAGCAUGGUGGUUAGACCCUGACACUUCUGGAGGUGAGGGGGUGUGAGGGACGACAGAGGAGCAGAGGAGCUCCCAGGAUUUGGUGAGGAGCCACUAUUCUAGGAUGUGGAUGUGGGCAGAAGGAGCUUGCUGUGUGCCAGGCACUGUAACCAAAUGAGUUCCACGUGCGAACGUGUUUAAUCUGUCUAACACCCAACCGAGCGGGUGUCCUUAGCAUCCCAUUUUACAGCCGUGGGGCUUAAGGGCCUUGUGCGAUUCACAGCUGGAAGUGGUGGAGACUGAUGGGGACCAGGCAGCCGGGCCUCGGAGUCCUGCUCCAUCAGAGCAUCUCAUGCCAGGGUCCCUGCCGAUUCCCCAGACUGUCCUUCUGGAGGAUGCUGGUGACUACUUCGUCCUUGUGUCCUAGUAGCCGGCAGAGGCCCAGCACAUGACAAACAAGGGCUGGAUCCGCCUUCCCUGUCACACCGGCAGGCUGCUUGUCAGCUGCGGCGGCAUCUGUUCUCGUCAGAAAAAUGAAGAAGGAAGUGAAAGAGCCACAGCCCAGGACUGCCGGCUGGGGAGAGAGUCUGGGCCUGGCCUCUCCUGGGAAGACCCCUUCCAGUAUCCCACGGGAGGCACCUGGGGGCAGGCCGGGGCUGGAGGGGCAUGGGUGCUCCACCGACAUCCUCUCCCCUUAAGAGGGAAGUGUGGUGAACAGCGUGGUCUCUGGCGCUGACUCCUGGGCUGCAUCCUAGCUCUGGACUGCCAAGCUGUGUGUUUGGGCAAGUUAGUAAACCUCUCUGUGCCUUAGUUUUCCCAUCUGUAAAAUGGGGAUAAUCCUGUUGUUGUGAGAGUUAAGUGAAUUAAUAGAAGGAAAGCACUUGGAACCAAAUACACAGCUGGCAUUAGUAAGCAUUUUGUUGGUGUUGGUAUUAUUGUCUCUUCCUUGUCUUAAGGAUUGCUCCUGAGUGAGGGGCUCAGCCCAUAGGUGUGAGGGAGCCAGAGCUGCCUAUGGACCAAGCAGCCUGAUCGAUAUGCGGCUCCCAGGCAGCCUCCCCAAAGACCACACACAGGCGAGUUCUGUGUGGACAGAGUCAAGUGUGGGCUUAGAAAAAUCCACCACAGCCCCUCCAGGCGGAACGUCUCCAGCCGGCCUCCAGGUGGGCAGCCGGUCUUGCUGGCGAGGACCUCCUCAGAGCUGAUGCGGCCAGCAGCAGGCACUAUGUGCCCCUGAGUGUGCCGGGCCCAGCGCCCCUCCCUGCCCAGCAUCUCGGAAAGCAGGGAAUGAGUUAAGCAGGGCCAGGUGGGAGCACGAGGGCCUCCCGGGCAGGCUAAUUCUUCAACACCACUUUCUAUCAAUAUUCCUUAUGUAUCUGUUCAGCAUUUAUUUGGUGGAGCGGGUACAAGUGAUUCUGUUAGUAAAGAUGGUGAUCUGCUCAUGGUAAAAAAUGAGAUUUAUUGCACACA